rnacentral:rRNA from 1 species
AUUGAACGCUGGCGGCAUGCUUUACACAUGCGAGUCGGACGGUAACAGGCCUUCGGGUGCUGACGAGUGGCGAACGGGUGAGUAAUGCAUCGGAACGUACCCAGAGGUGGGGGAUAACGCAGCGAAAGCUGUGCUAAUACCGCAUGUGAUCUGAGGAUGAAAGCGGGGGACCGAGCAGCAAUGUUUGGCCUCGCGCCUUUGGAGCGGCCGAUGUCGGAUUAGCUAGUUGGUGGGGUAAAGGCCUACCAAGGCGACGAUCCGUAGCUGGUCUGAGAGGACGACCAGCCACACUGGGACUGAGACACGGCCCAGACUCCUACGGGAGGCAGCAGUGGGGAAUGUUGGACAAUGGGCGCAAGCCUGAUCCAGCAAUGCCGCGUGCGGGAAGAAGGCCUUCGGGUUGUAAACCGCUUUUGGCAGGAACGAAACGGUGUCCGCUAAUACCGGGCGCUAAUGACGGUACCUGCAGAAUAAGCACCGGCUAACUACGUG